rnacentral:rRNA from 1 species
GAUGAACGCUAGCGGCAGGCUUAACACAUGCAAGUCGAGGGGCAGCACGAGGUAGCAAUACUUUGGUGGCGACCGGCGCACGGGUGCGUAACGCGUAUGCAACCUACCUUUAACAGGGGCAUAACACUGAGAAAUUGGUACUAAUUCCCCACUAACAUUCGUAGAAGGCAUCUUCUUGGGUUAAAAACGUACCGGUGGUUAAAGAAUGGGCGAUGCGUUGUAUUAGCUAGUUGGUGAGGUAACGG